AAGGGUGGUGCAAAAAUAGUUUAUUAGGAUAUAGUUAAUGUAAAGUUAGGUAAUUCUAUUUACAAAAUAAAAAGGAUCAGCUACAUCCAUGGGCACCUAGCAUGUCACACAGGGGGCUGUAAGGAAUAAAUACAGUGAGAAGUGACCUGUUACAGUGAGCAGUUGGUGGGGAAUGGUGGCUCUUAAGCUCUGAAAUAAACUGGAGUGGAAGGGAGAAGGGAAGGAGAGAGGAGCUCGCACACACUGAAGAACAGGAGCCUCCAACACCUGCUCCUCUUUCCGGAGGGACAAAAUGACACAUGAGAUGCCAUUUCCAGGACUGAUCCCUGUGGAAAAUCCCCUUAAAAGAGGCUGUUCUGCCCUAUGGAUGGACAGGGCUUGAGGACAACUGUGCUCCCAUCUCUCCUCACUAUAAGCCUGCCUGGGUUUGAGCUGCUUUGCUUGGAUAGAACCAAGGCAAAGCUGCCUGUUCCUGUUAGGAUGGAGGAGGAAGACAACCAAUACCACUCCAGGUACCACCACAGACUUGCAGAGCUGCCUUUUUCCUCCCCAAAACUUCAUCCUUUCCCAUAAAACUGAUUCUUUAAAAUGAUUCCUUAAAAUCUCGAGCCAUCCAGAACUCCAGGUCCCAGGAGGGUGGGCACAGGUCAAAGCCUCUGUGUUCAUAUCUGCUUCCUACUUACCACGGUCUCUAGUAUCUUACAACAUGCUUUGCCAUCUCUAGUUUAGAACAAAGAGUGUUCUUGUCAAUCCUGCACACGGGCAGCACAUGGAGAAAGCAUGAAGAACACAACAGUGAUUGCACUCAUCAUUGAGGAGUUCAUGACCAGCUGCCUUAGUUCAGUUAGUACCAACUUACUUGGCUCUUCAGGGUUCUGCUAGUAAACCCCACACUCUUGGUUUCCUUCAGUAGUCACAGACUGAGGCAGGGCAAGCCUGUUGCUUCCAGCCUGGUGCUCCCUGAUCCUGUACAUUGGAUUCUCUGAUGAGAAAUGCCUUCUACUGCAGGAUCACCUAAGUUCAACUCAGCAGCAUCUUAUACUGCAAGUUAUGUCUGAAGUUACACAUUGUGAGUUGCGGCGCGCUUCAGGACAUGUGUCUGUACAGCAGGGUCUGGUGUUCCCUUGUGAAGUCCAAGAGGAUCUGGAAUGUGCUGCACACGGGAGUUCCAGCACUACAGCAGUGCCUCACGAGCCCGUACCCACUGCACAUGGUGUGCUCCGUCACCGAGUAGCUCUAUAGUAGCACACCACUAGGUCACAGUCUGCACAUGCAUGAUAUUCAUGCCACUACCAAAUAAAUACAACAUUAUGGAGCUCUCUGUAUGGAAAUAAACCAACCCAAGUUUAUAGGUUACAGUUCUCAAACCAUGUGCAUGAUCUUUGGACGAGUAUCUCCAAAAGUAAAGGUACAGGUCAGCAGAAAAGGUUUGUAAAGAUAUUUAUAACAGUCAUUAAAACCAAACCAGGACAGUUUAUAGGGUGGGUUGGACAUGUCACACUCAUUGCUCUUCUCCCAACCAAAGCGGGACAUCUGGGUUAAACCAGGAUUUAAACCUCAAAACCACAACGUAGGCACAAAAGAGACCCCUCCACUGAUUGCUGAGUAAUAAAUAUGUACAUGCGUGCUCUGGAUACUAUAAUACAGGCUUUAAAUUACUCUUUUAAAAGACAAGAAUAACAAAGCUUGGGGUUUUCUUCUCUAAAAAGGGGGAAAAGAUUACAGAGCAAAGGCAAGCUGCAGUGAGUGCUUCAGUGGCCACAAUCCAGGUACUGCAUCCGACCAGGGGAAAAGGCAAAGGACUAGUCUAAGUGCAGAGCUGGUACAAGAGGGAGACACUUUGCAGUGCUGGGGACACUGCUAUUGACACAGAGACCUUCCUGGGUUGCAAGAUACUGGGUUUGAAGCAAAUGAACACAAUUUGCUGCUGCUUUUAUAUGUGGGCAAAGAAAAGGUCACAUUUAAAGAAGGAUUCAGCCUGUUUCAGGAGAGACAAAUGGUGCGAAACUCUUACACAGGAAAAUCAUUACUUGGAGCCUGUGCCUGCACCAUCCUCACACUUGACUCUUCCUACACGUCACAUUUCGGUACUACCAACAGUGUAGAACUGUGCAAGAUGCAGCAGCUUGUGUUUUACGUGUUGCUGUGUAGCUGUGGUGCCCUGGAAAGCACCUGAAGCAGGUCCCUGCAGUGGUACCACACACCAAAGGGUGAUGCUGGGCAGUGGGAUGAUGCAAAUAGACUUUGAAAGCCUUCUGUGCAAGUGGGGAGCUCACCCUCUCCCCCUGAUGCUUUCCUCCCCUCUCCACACACUUCCUAAUUUAAAUUGCCACUGAUUCAUCCUGAAAGAUGGGAGAAGCAGGAAGCAGCAAUAGGAUAACUACGGCACAUUGAUACAGGUGAAAAGCUUCCCAGCUGGCUUUCUGCUUUGUUUCCCUUUAUUUUAAAGCACUGCUCUCUGCAGAAAUAUUUGUUUUCGGCUGCUUAUUGGCUGUAUUGGCUGUUUAUCUCUUCCUAUAAUGCCUCUUGCUUUGGAGAGAUGCUUAAAUACUUGUCAGGCUGCGAGGAGAACAGACCCCAAAGCCUGGAGCUUGCAGCCACCAUUCACAAUAUCUGUCUGCAUCCCACAGCAUCAUCCCUCUUCCUCUCUUUCUCUGGUACCCCCAGAGCUCAUAGCUACUACCAUAGGAUAUCGUAUACAGCAUUCCAACCCAGUGAUGUGCUGCCCCAAAGGGUGCAGGUGAUCCUGAGGGUGCCAAAAGGCCCCUAAUACCUCCUUGGGACAGCACAGUCAGGCUCUCUCUUAGCUUUCAAAGGAACCAAAUUCCGCAGUGGCAGACGGCUGCUCCUACAUGCUACAGCAUGAAACCACCACCAUGUUCAUGAGAGACCCCUUUGCUUAGCGAUAAACACUUUAAACCCACAUCAUCCAGCAAAAAGAUUCAUUAAUUUGGCUUAUUAAACAUUGCUAAAAUCAUGGCAGAGGCGGCCAGUCCCACUGGUCCCUCACACACCACGUUCCCUGCACUGCCCUCCUGUUCUAUUUCAGCUACAUCUUGUUGUUAGUGCCAGUUUAUACCUUUUUCCCCAGCAAACCUGCCUGUUCUGCCUUCCUCAGCUAUCUGCAGGUCCAGAGAAGCUGCCAACAUUAAAUGAAAGCAUCCUGAUAGCAAACCUCUGAGCAGCUGAUCCCCCUUGUCUGAUGCUGUUCAUACAGAAGGAUGGGGGGUGAUGGGAGCACUGACACUGUGUGUAGAAUAAGGUAAAAACACAGGAAAGAGUGAAGAUAAUCCAGCUGCAUCCCUGCAGCCCCUCACUUGGGCACAUCCAUAGGAAGGAGCAAGAGCUGUACAAGUGUUCCCGAAUGACUUCCCCCCCAUAAACACCAGUAUAUAUGUAUAUAAAUAAGAACACUACACUCCAGCCUCUCUUCACAGGGUAAUGCUGAGCCAGAGCACAAGCAGAAAGCACAUCCCUGACCUUCCUUGUCUUCUGUACCCCUGUUUUUAUCUUACCUUCUUCUUCCUUCCUGCCCCAUCCACCACUGAAGUGCUGCCACCUUUGCCAACACACUGCAGCACCUUCCUCACCCCUCUUAAACACCCAAAUCCCAUUAGUGUAUUUACAUAUGAGCUUCACCUGGUAGCUCUGCCCGUGCCCUCCACUAAGCUGUUCUCUAUUAAGAAAUAAGGCUCCAAGCAGGAGCACUGGCAAAGAAAUCAAGUGUUUCUACUCAAUACCUAGGACUAAGCUGCAAGAGAGGAUUGCUUAGUGUGAGCAAGCAUAGAGCAGAUAAUAUCCCUCCCAUGGAGAGCCUCAAGAUACUCAGUGGCAUGAUCCUGGAUCAGAAAAGGUCCGUCUUGCAUCCUCCACAGCACCCACAUGCCAAUGCAGACAGCAAGUACAUGACUUCUAGUCCUCAUGAGUGCUUCUGAGCAAAUGAAGUACGCAAGGAAAAGCAGGAUUUGCUAGGGGAUGUAAGAAAGGUCAGGGUCCACGUGGCGAGAAGGAGACCAGCACAUGUUCCUCUUGGUUGGCUAAAAAGGAUAAAGUCCCAUCGUAUGUCUUGAGAGAAGAGGAAAAGGAAGGCAUCCUGGAGCCAGUGAUGUCUUGUAAGGGAAGAGCACUGGCCAUGCUCCUCCAUGGUGGGAUGGGAGGAGGACUAAGGCAGCUGCUGGCUGAUGGGUUAAAGCAAACACAAUGCAGGAAGCAGCACUGAGACUCUCGGAGUGGCUGGUGGCUGAUCAGACGUGGUCCGUGUGGGUCAUGGCUGGAAAGGCUCCUGGGUCCAAAACAUCUGAGGGCACGUGCCUGCUGACGAGGGAAAAGCCUUUGUAUCCAAGUGGUUGAGCAUCUUUCCUGUCCUGCUCCUAUCUCCAGGACUUCCAUGUACACCCAGGCAGAGAUUACAGAGCACCGCAAUGGGAGAGCAUCCCUGUACGUGCUCUGCUCACUGCUCGGCACUGGCAUCUUGGCUGGGGACAAGUGGGGCUCCUAUGGGCAGGACCAGAGUGCUGCCACAAGGUGCCAGGCUGAGCACUUGGCCAUGGCAAGGCCACGCAAGCUGGAUGAGAGCCUGAUGCACGUCGUGGUUCGAUGAAGCCAUCUCCUGCUGAGGGUCUGAGACACAAGCUUGCUGCUCUGAUGGGAAGGAUGAGGGCGAACACUCUCACCCACCAUGGUCCAACCUGCCAGGACUGGAGGUGCCUGGUACCAGCCUUGUGGUGCUCACUGCUCCAGGGCUGCAGGGAGAGUUUGCUCUAUGGGCUGUGCUUGUACAACCACCUAACAGCCCCAAAAUCAGCCAUGAAAGCACAUAGAGCUGCCUCAACCAUGUGUUAAGCACCUGAUAGACAAGGCGAUGCUUUGCUCCAUGUAAAGGCUUGGGUGCAUCUUUAACAGCCCAGCCCGAUGUGAUGUGGGUCAAUAAGCAGCUAAACAGGGCUGGGAAGCCAAUGUGCCAGAGCACUGCUUCAGCUCUGCUUGGUGAGGCAGGACCUGAGGUCUUUACAGAUGGCAUCUUGCAAAUCAGCCUGGGAUAAAGCAGCACAGGCUGCUUCUAGGAAGACAACCUCAUGUGCUGCAUCUAGUGCUACUAGCUCCCUCAGCUCUCUUAGUUUGCAUCUCUUUAUGGGCCUCACGGUGCUGAAUUGUAUGCUCUUUGAAUACAGAAGCUAUCAGGACUGAGAAGGUCUGAAGCACAUACUGGUUUUGAGAUCUUUAUUUCAGGAAAAAAAAAAGAUUAAAGAAUUAAAAUAGGAGCUGCCCUGCUGACAAGAAGAGUUUGAAUUCAAGAAGCUGAUAAAAAAGGGGCAUUAUAUGCAUUGAGCACUGUGCAUUUUCAGUCAAUAUCGGCUCUACUUUCUACUCUACUUUCCUUUGACUAGGAAAAGGGAGUUUCACAUGCGCACAGACCCUGGGAUACACGGGACUCAAUGAGAGGAAGGGAGUAACAGCAAUAAAAGAGAGUGCUGGGCUUGAUCUAACAGAGGCAAGGAAGUGAUCUUAAAGCUCGGGCCCCCAAAACACCAACUCCAACCACCAGCGAGACGGGAGGCAAAGACACGCGGCUGGGGCGGACUCGAUGGUGCGCUGGAGCAUCUGCAGCUCCCUAUCCACAACUACUGCAGCCACCAAAGCUCCACCAGGCUCCGGCAUCGCCUACAUUCAGGAUACGGCAGAGUCACGGGGCAGGAGAAUCACUUCUUGCAUCCUUCUCCAGCGGGAUGUCAGUGUUUGUACCUCCAGGCUGCGUACGCCGACACGGACCUGCGCUCCCCGACAGC
ensembl:lncRNA